GGUUCACUGAACAGACUCAGAUCCACUGGAGCCUGGCACACCUGCAGUCCAUGGCAUUGAGCUGGAAGAACACAAUACAGGGGAGGACAAAACUUCAACUGCUUCCAGUAUAAUUUUAUUCUAAAAUCUAUUCCACCAACAACCCUAUAGAGAGUUUACCACCAACUGUAUGGGACAUUUAGCAUGAUCCCUACACGGAUUGUAUCAUAACAUUCAUUAUUGAGUAGUGGACCGCUCACCUUCAGUGGCAGAAAGGUCUAAGAAUGAAAGCGAGGUGACCUCCGCCUCGUUCACACCACGCCUGGGCUUUUUGAGACGAAAGCUGUAAACCAACAAACUCAUAGCAGGCAUCGUCAAAGCCUCGCUGGUGUUCUGGACAGAAUACGCCUUCUGCAUCU